rnacentral:rRNA from 1 species
UUGAACGCUGGCGGCAGGCCUAACACAUGCAAGUCGAGCGGUAGCACAGAGAGCUUGCUCUCGGGUGACGAGCGGCGGACGGGUGAGUAAUGUCUGGGAAACUGCCUGAUGGAGGGGGAUAACUACUGGAAACGGUAGCUAAUACCGCAUAAUGUCGCAAGACCAAAGUGGGGGACCUUCGGGCCUCAUGCCAUCAGAUGUGCCCAGAUGGGAUUAGCUAGUAGGUGGGGUAAUGGCUCACCUAGGCGACGAUCCCUAGCUGGUCUGAGAGGAUGACCAGCCACACUGGAACUGAGACACGGUCCAGACUCCUACGGGAGGCAGCAGUGGGGAAUAUUGCACAAUGGGCGCAAGCCUGAUGCAGCCAUGCCGCGUGUGUGAAGAAGGCCUUCGGGUUGUAAAGCACUUUCAGCGGGGAGGAAGGCGGUGAGGUUAAUAACCUCAUCGAUUGACGUUACCCGCAGAAGAAGCACCGGCUAACUCCGUGCCAGCAGCCGCGGUAAUACGGAGGGUGCAAGCGUUAAUCGGAAUUACUGGGCGUAAAGCGCACGCAGGCGGUCUGUCAAGUCGGAUGUGAAAUCCCCGGGCUCAACCUGGGAACUGCAUUCGAAACUGGCAGGCUAGAGUCUUGUAGAGGGGGGUAGAAUUCCAGGUGUAGCGGUGAAAUGCGUAGAGAUCUGGAGGAAUACCGGUGGCGAAGGCGGCCCCCUGGACAAAGACUGACGCUCAGGUGCGAAAGCGUGGGGAGCAAACAGGAUUAGAUACCCUGGUAGUCCACGCCGUAAACGAUGUCGAUUUGGAGGUUGUGCCCUUGAGGCGUGGCUUCCGGAGCUAACGCGUUAAAUCGACCGCCUGGGGAGUACGGCCGCAAGGUUAAAACUCAAAUGAAUUGACGGGGGCCCGCACAAGCGGUGG